UACGUAGGGUGCGAGCGUUGUCCGGAAUUACUGGGCGUAAAGAGCUCGUAGGUGGUUUGUCGCGUUGUUCGUGAAAACCGGAGGCUCAACCUCUGGCGUGCGGGCGAUACGGGCAGACUUGAGUACUGCAGGGGAGACUGGAAUUCCUGGUGUAGCGGUGAAAUGCGCAGAUAUCAGGAAGAACACCCGUGGCUAAGGCGGCUCUCUAGUACGGUACUGACGCUGAGACGCGAAAGCGUGGGGAGCGAACAGG
rnacentral:rRNA from 1 species